CCUACGGGAGGCAGCAGUGAGGAAUAUUGGUCAAUGGGCGCGAGCCUGAACCAGCCAAGUAGCGUGAAGGAUGACUGCCCUACGGGUUGUAAACCUCUUUUAUAAAGGAAUAAAGUGAGGCACGUGUGCCUUUUUGUCUGUACUUUAUGAAUAAGGAUCGGCUAACUCCGUGCCAGCAGCCGCGGUAAUACGGAGGAUCCGAGCGUUAUCCGGAUUUAUUGGGUUUAAAGGGAGCGUAGAUGGGUUGUUAAGUCAGUUGUGAAAGUUUGCGGCUUAAACGUAAAAUUGCAAUUAAUACUGGCAGGCUAGAGUACAGAUGAGGUAGGCGGAAUACGUGGUGUAGCGGUGAAAUGUAUAGAUAUCACGUAGAACACCGAUAGCGAAGGCAGCUUACUAGACUGCCACUGACGUUGAUGCACGAGAGUAUGGGUAUCGAACAGGAUUAGAUACCCGUGUAGUC
rnacentral:rRNA from 1 species